CUGCUUAUUAGAUACACAUCAGAUAUGCAACGACUUUCAAAAUCAGUCACUGGCAUUCUUGAGAUUUCAUAGCAACAAAUUGCACCAGUGGGCGAAGGAAGAAGCAAAGUUGCACAGAAACGUUUUCGAACAACCACAGGCAAGAGGGGGCUAUCAAAGGUGACAAAGAGAAGAAGAAAAACAGCAGAUCAGCAUUUAGCAAUGAGGACAAAGAAGGUGUAAUUAAACAAGACCUGAUGGAUCAGAUAAUAUCAUUAAAAUCGGUUUUCAGACAGGACACUGCUGCUUCCAGACCCUCUAAAGCUCUUGUGGGUUGCUAAGAUUCAGCUUCACUUGUGAAAAAUGUGUUUCCAUGGCAGGACAGCUAAAAAACAUGAGCAUUUCUGAGGUGCUGUGAGGUGAUUUUGCCAAGGUGUUCCUCCCUUGAGCUUGCACCCUGGCUAUUUUGAUGAUACACCCAAGAAACGGAAGAGGAUGUGCAGGAGAUAUCAGUGGUUAUUUGACUUGCUGCUAAUCUUUGAAUGCAACAGUACCCAGUCACACAGUCAGAGCAGCACAGCCCUCCAGACACUGUGACAGUCCCCUGCAGCUGUCCUCCCCUAUCUGCAAGAGAAUCUGUGGCCUGAAACAUGGGACCUUCUUGCGUGCCUUCUCAAAGCUGGAGUUCAGGUGGGAGGAGGGUGAGAGACUUCUCAUCAGUGGCCAGAAGGGCAGGUGAGAUUCAAAAAUGAACAACUUUGUAAAAAAAGGAACCCUUGUACAAUGAUGGCUGUGGCAUGUAUGGGAGGAACAGCAUCUUUGGAGAAGUGCUGGGAGCAUCAUUUCAGUAUAUGUGUGGUUACUUUCACACGGAUCAUUUGAAGUCAAUGACAUAGGCACAAGUGCAUUUUGAACACAGUCGAGAGAUCAGUCUCCUUGAGAAGAAGGUUAAGAAAACAAACGAAACUUGCCUUGUAGAAACGGUGGGACAGGGUGGGGGAAUCCCAUAUUAGCCAACAUUCAAAUUACUGCAUUGCUUUGUAAUUUCAGAACUCUACUUGUCUAUUGGCUUUUGCAUUAAAAAUAGGAAAGCCACCAGACUUCCUUCCAGCUGACAAAGAAAAGUAACCGGUAAUUGGCAAUUGCCUGUUUUUAUUGGCUGCUGAAAUCAAAUGGGCCAAAUAUUGUCACUGCAGUCUUGAGCUGACAAAAUAAGUUUAAAGCUGAGAACCUUCCCAGGCUAGGAGAAGGUAUCUGUAUGCUGUUUUAAUAGUGUCUAGCCAUGUACAUAUUGACCAGUCUGGAAAUACAACUAUAGAUUGGAAAAAGAAAAGAAAAAAAAAAGUUGUCUUAUUGAUUUUUCUAAUUUAAAUGAAGAUCUGUGCUAUAUAUAUAUAUUUUUUUUAAUAUUAUGUUAAAACAGCAGUUAAUACAAGAGAUAAGUUUCUGUGUUAACAAGCUAAGAACAAGAUAAUCGUUUCACAGAAUUUUUAUUUUAAAUUUAAAUGGAAGCCACUUGGGUUUUUAAAUUAUUCUGAUUCGUAUGUGACUUUUAAGCAAAACUUUUUUUAGUCUUUCUUUAUUCUAAUAAUGAAAGCAAAUUUGUUCAAAUCUAUCUUUGCUGUAUUAGAACUAUGAAAAAAAAAAAAAACAAGUUGAAAUUUUGAGAAGUUGCUUUGCAAGGAAAAAAUGUACAGAAAAUUUGUUUGAAUGUGUGGUUUAAUUAAGAUACUACUCAAUAAAAUUUCUGGAUUUUUUUUUAAGGA